UACAGAGGUCUCAAGCGUUUGUUCGGAUUCAUUGGGCGUAAAGGGUGCGUAGGCGGCGCGGUAAGUCGGGUGUGAAAUCUUGGAGCUUAACUCCGAAACUGCAUUCGAUACUGCCGUGCUUGAGGACUGGAGAGGAGACUGGAAUUUACGGUGUAGCGGUGAAAUGCGUAGAUAUCGUAAGGAAGACCAGUGGCGAAGGCGGGUCUCGUGGACAGUUCCUGACGCUGAGGCACGAAGGCCAGGGGAGCAAACAGG
rnacentral:rRNA from 1 species